AUAUAUAGGAAAAAGAGCACCUUUACUUCCGCUGCGGCGGCCUUCCCUCCUGGAGACCACCCUUGCCUCCCCGGGAUGGCCACGAAGGCCGAUAGAAGGAGGCGGCGGAGCAACCGGCGGGCAGUGAGGAGAAGGGCCGGAGGAAUAAGGCGAGGAAGAAUAUGGUGGAGUAUCGCUGAGAAUCGGAGGGUGGGGAGGGACGUCGCAGCGACGACGGCGGAUGGAAUGGGAGAGGCGGGAGGCGGGAAAAACGGGGUGCAUUUACCUGUUCUACUAGUCCGCGAGCUCGACGCAGAGGAAGAUCAAGCUGCAGCAUGAUGAGAUAGUCAAGCCGAACAAAGCUAAGACAUUGACGAUAGCUCAGGUUUUCUUGCUUCCCCCCUCGAACUUUUACCUUUCUCUUUCGUGUUUCUCAUAGAAAUUUUAGUGAAGAGCAUGAAUUAGUUUGCUUGAGGUCGUCAAUCCAUGUUACAAUUGGAGGAGAAGAGAAUAAAGGCCACAAAUUUAUAGGAUAUGAUAUUUUGCUGUCGUGUAAGAAAAAAAUUGGAGAUGUUGUUGAUGCCAUGCUGCUGGAGAUUUUCUACCACUCUGAUGUUGAUUGAUUCCAUCCGGUUGUCGGUUCAUUCACAGAACAUCUUAAUCUCAAGUUCUUUUUUUUCUGUGGAAUCCAGGAAUUUUCUUCUUUACUAAUUGUUGCAACACAACGCUCAUUCAACCACGGCAACAACAACAACAACAACAACAAAGCUAUAAAGUCCCAACACAACACCUAACCAUAGGAAGUUGUAAGAUUGGGUUGGUCAGUUCAUCAACUGUCUGGUCGAGGCAAGAAAUGAAUUGCGGCACAAGUAUGUCGUCACUUUACAGGUCUGAGAUUGUUCAAAGGAGUUUUAAAAUAAAGAAGGCAUUACUAUACAAAGUCGACAGAUCUUCUUUUGAUUGUCUUUGCCAACAGUUAUACAAGAAAUUUUUGGUUGACCACAAGCAGCUAGUAUUUUUCUUCUGCACGUCCAGUAGGAUGGAUCUUUGUGUGCCUGCAGAUCUUCAAACUAUGGACCGUACACAGGAUAUGAGAGUAAGAUGCAACUGUUCAUAAUCUACUUCAAGACCAACUCAACCUCUCACCUGCUUAUGUAAAUAUACGGACACAUCCUUCUUCAGUCACGUUCUACCAUAAUGAUCAUGCGAUUCUAAAGUCCAUCUGACAUGCUUCUGUAGAUGCUUUGAGGUUAGCCCAAGCAUGGAGCAGAAGGCUGAACCAGAUGAGUCUGCAGAACUCCCUGAUAUCUCAUUCGAGGAGUUAUUAGCUGACGAAAAGAAGGAUUUGUUU